GAUGAACGCUGGCGGCGUGCUUAACACAUGCAAGUCGAACGGAGUGCCUUUGAAAGAGGAUUCGUCCAAUUGAUAAGGUUACUUAGUGGCGGACGGGUGAGUAACGCGUGAGGAACCUGCCUUGGAGUGGGGAAUAACACAGUGAAAAUUGUGCCAAUACCGCAUAAUGCAGUUGGGCCGCAUGGCUCUGACUGCCAAAGAUUUAUCGCUCUGAGAUGGCCUCGCGUCUGAUUAGCUAGUUGGUGAGGUAACGGCUCACCAAGACCGCGAUCGGUAGCCGGACUGAGAGGUUGAACGGCCACAUUGGGACUGAGACACGGCCCAG
rnacentral:rRNA from 1 species